GGUUGAUAGGCCAGAAAUGGAAGCACAGUAAUGUGUUGUCGAGUUGACUGGUACUAAUAGGCCGAGGACUUGCCCA
rnacentral:rRNA from 1 species